CCUACGGGAGGCAGCAGUGAGGAAUAUUGGUCAAUGGACGAAAGCCUGAACCAGCCACGUAGCGUGAAGGAUGACUGCCCUAUGGGUUGUAAACUUCUUUUAUAUGGGAAUAAAAUGUUCCACGUGUCGGAUUUUGUAUGUACCAUAUGAAUAAGGAUCGGCUAACUCCGUGCCAGCAGCCGCGGUAAUACGGAGGUUCCGAGCGUUAUCCGGAUUUAUUGGGUUUAAAGGGAGCGUAGGUGGAUUGUUAAGUCAGUUGUGAAAUUUUGCGGCUCAACCCUAGAAUUGCAGUUGAAACUGGCAGUCUUGAGUCCAGUAGAGGUAGGCGGAAUUCGUGGUGUAGCGGUGAAAUGCUUAGAUAUCACGAAGAACUCCGAUUGCGAAGGCAGCUCGCUGGACUGCAACUGACGCUGAGGCUCGAAAGUGUGGGUAUCAAACAGGAUUAGAUACCCUGGUAGUC
rnacentral:rRNA from 1 species